rnacentral:rRNA from 1 species
AUUGAACGCUGGCGGCAUGCCUUACACAUGCAAGUCGAACGGCAGCACAGGUAGUUGUUGCUGGUGCGGAGUGGCGGUGGGGUACGGGUUAGAAAGGCACCUGACUUGACGUGGGGGUUAGCGCGGCGGUAGGGGGAUUUAUACCGCUUCCGCUUACGGGCUGCGUGUGAGGGCAGUGAGGGUUCCGACCUUUCGGGAUGGAAGGAGGCGAUGUCGGAUUAGCUAGUUGGUGGGGUAAAGGCCUACCAAGGCGACGAUCAGUAGCUGGUCUGAGAGGACGACCAGCCACACUGGAACUGAGACACGGCCCAGACUCCUACGGGAGGCAGCAGUGGGGAAUUUUGGACAAUGGGCGAAAGCCUGAUCCAGCAAUGCCGCGUGUGUGAAGAAGGCCUUCGGGUUGUAAAGCACUUUUGUCCGGAAAGAAAUCCAGGACCCUAAUACGGUCGGGUUAUGACGGUACCGGAAGAAUAAGCACCGGCUAACUACGUG